ACACGCAUGACACACUGCAUAUCAAUAAGCGGAGGAAAAGAAACUAACAAGGAUUCCCUUAGUAACGGCGAGUGAAGCGGGAAGAGCUCAAAUUUGAAAUCUUCAAGGUUUUACCUUGACGAAUUGUAGUUUAAAGAAGUGUUUUCUGUUGAAGUUUUGGUAAAAGUUCUUUGGAAUAGGACAUCAUAGAGGGUGAGAAUCCCGUAUUUGACUAUUCUUUCUAGCUUUGUGAUACACUUUCAAAGAGUCGGAUUGUUUGGGAAUGCAGUCCAAAAUGGGUGGUAAAUUUCAUCUAAAGCUAAAUAUUGGCGAGAGACCGAUAGCGAACAAGUACCGUGAGGGAAAGAUGAAAAGAACUUUGAAAAGAGAGUUAAACAGUACGUGAAAUUGUCAAAAGGGAAGCGUUUGACACCAGUGUUGUCUUUCCGAAAAUCAAUUAAAAAUUGAUUCAUGCCAGGUUGUAUUGACCUUAUCAGCUUGCAAUUUGGUUUUGGGUCUCUUUUUGAUGCACUUUUCGGUUAACAAGUCAACAUCAAUUUCCUUUGCUGUAAAAAGGUAAGAGGAAGGUGGCUUCAAUUUCGGUUGAAGUGUUUAUAGCCUUUUAUCUCUGCAGUCGGGGAGAUUGAGGUCUGCAGCGUAGAUCCUUCGGGGCUAGAUACAUUUAUGCUAAGUUAUAGCUUUUCAUAGACAACUUGUUGACUAUGUUUAGUCAUGUAGCUUACUCGUAAGUGCUAUUUUACCUACGCUUAGGAUGUUGAGCGCAUGUCUCUCUCU
rnacentral:rRNA from 1 species